rnacentral:rRNA from 1 species
AUGAUCGAGAUUUUUUGGAUCUGCCCCACUGGGUCUUUUUAUAUUGGUAUAGAUUUGAUAUCUACAAGCCACAUGGAGGUGCUCUUAAGUGUAUGGACUAUUAUUGAUGGGUUUCCCUGCCUUUCUUCUUUGUUCCGUAUUGAUGUUUAUAUGCAAUUGUUUCAUCUUCCAGCAUGUAUAUUAUAUUUUUUCAGAUUCAGUCAGCAUGCAUGUAAAUACUAUGGCCAAUUGCAUUGUCUUCUAGAAUUAAUUAUGCACCAUGUAAUACAAGCAAAUGACAAAUUUUUAGUCACACACCAUUUUGAUAAGCAUUAUGAUUUUAAAUUUACAAGUGUGAGUGACCUCAUUUUGAAUAUAUUGCCGUCCAUUUCAUAUAUUUGUACUCACUUUGUUGUUUGGCACAACAGAAUUGUCAGUUUUCAAAAUGCAUAUACUUCUUUUUCUACUGAUAUUUUUUGUGCCCACCUUACAUGCCAUCACACAGUUACAUCUUAUAAUUAUGAGUUCUUUGAGAAUUAA